rnacentral:rRNA from 1 species
CUACGGGCGGCUCCAGUGGGGAAUAUUGCACAAUGGAGGAAACUCUGAUGCAGCAACGCCGCGUGGAGGAUGACACUUUUCGGAGCGUAAACUCCUUUUAUAUAGGAAGAAGAUGACGGUACUAUAUGAAUAAGCGCCGGCUAACUCCGUGCCAGCAGCCGCGGUAAUACGGAGGGCGCAAGCGUUACUCGGAAUCACUGGGCGUAAAGAGCGUGUAGGCGGAUUAAAAAGUCAGAAGUGAAAUCCUAUAGCUUAACUAUAGAACUGCUUCUGAAACUCUUAAUCUAGAAUAUGGGAGAGGUAGAUGGAAUUUCUGGUGUAGGGGUAAAAUCCGUAGAGAUCAGAAGGAAUACCGAUUGCGAAGGCGAUCUACUAGAACAUUAUUGACGCUGAGACGCAAAAGCGUGGGGAGCAAACAGGAUUAGAUACCCCUGUAGUC